GACGAACGCUGGCGGCGUGCUUAACACAUGCAAGUCGAACGGAGUGGCGAACGGGUGAGUAACACGUGGGUGAUCUGCCUUGCACUUCGGGAUAAGCUUGGGAAACUGGGUCUAAUACCGGAUAGUGCAAGAUGAGCUCGCGGCCUAUCAGCUUGUUGGUGGGGUAAUGGCCUACCAAGGCGUCGACGGGUAGCCGGCCUGAGAGGGUGUACGGCCACAUUGGGACUGAGAUACGGCCCAGACUCCUACGGGAGGCAGCAGUGGGGAAUAUUGCACAAUGGGCGGAAGCCUGAUGCAGCGACGCCGCGUGGGGGAUGAAGGCCUUCGGGUUGUAAACUCCUUUCGACAGGGACGCGGUACCUGUAUAAGAAGCACCGGCUAACUACGUGCCAGCAGCCGCGGUAAUAC
rnacentral:rRNA from 1 species